AUGGCCUUGAGGAAAAAAGGUCAAAACUGAAACAAGCAGCAUCAACUCUGCUCAAUCAGAAAGAAGACUCCUGAGAAUGGGGAUUGUAACUUUAGGAGUAUUGUGUAUCUUACAAGCCAUCCUCAAUAUCUCCCUGCACCUUGCCGUUUAUUCAAAAGAGGACAUCAAUCAGUUUCCCUGCAACACCUCUGUGAUAGAAGACAUGUGCCAGACUGAGCAAUUUCAGUCGAAUUCAACCCACUUAUGUUCCUGCUGCAACCUGCUGCAAAGGCUACUGAGAGAAAGAGACCUCUUGCAAGACAAAAUCAAUCGGUUUAGCAGAGGUUUUGAAGAUAUGGAGAUAUCUGGAUCUGGUUCCUUUUUCUAGGAGGAAAAUACAUGAAAGUUUUGCUAAUUUUGACAUGCUACCUGACAUGAUAAAAUGUAUUGAAUGACUGUGUAUGUGAAAGAUGACACUUUUAGUGACAACAGGUGCUAUCUAUCUAUCUAUAUACAAAUAAAUAUGCUUUAUAUACAUACAAUAAAUAUAUCUAUUUAUUUAUACUAUGUAUUUAAAGCAAUUCAUAAAAAGUCAUACAAAAAUUUGUUUUUGUUUCAUUUAUGUGAAAUAUUGGGCCAUGUCUUUGCCACAACCCGAAGUGACAGAAAAAAGCUAGCUAAGAUACUUCCUGGUGUUUUCGGUUGACUCACAUCCUCUUAUUUCAGUGGCUUUAAUGCAACAUGUUGUAUGUGUAGGUUUUAGAAAUGUUCUACUGUCAAUGGUACAAUGUACAUUAAAAAAAAAACAUUUGAGAUGUUUUAAAAUAUCGUA